rnacentral:rRNA from 1 species
UACGUAGGGGGCGAGCGUUAUCCGGAUUUAUUGGGCGUAAAGCGUGUGUAGGCGGCUAAUUAAGUCUAAGAUUAAAGCCUGGAGCUUAACUCCAGAUCGUCUUAGAUACUGGUUGGCUUGAGUGUAGUAGAGGCAAGUGGAAUUUCUAGUGUAGCGGUAAAAUGUGUAGAUAUUAGAAGGAACAUCAGUGGCGAAGGCGACUUGCUGGGCUAUUACUGACGCUGAGGCACGAAGGCGUGGGGAGCGAAUAGG